GGAAACGACUGCUAAUACCCAAUGUGCCGAGAGGUGAAAAAUUUAUUGCCUGAAGAGGAGCUCGCGUCUGAUUAGCUAGUUGGUGAGGUAAAAGCUUACCAAGGCAACGAUCAGUAGCUGGUCUGAGAGGAUGAGCAGCCACACUGGGACUGAGACACGGCCCAGACUCCUACGGGAGGCAGCAGUGGGGAAUUUUCCGCAAUGGGCGAAAGCCUGACGGAGCAACGCCGCGUGAGGGAGGAAGGCUUUUGGGUUGUAAACCUCUUUUGUUAGGGAAGAAGAAAGGACGGUACCUAACGAAUAAGCAUCGGCUAACUCCGUGCCAGCAGCCGCGGUAAUACGGAGGAUGCAAGCGUUAUCCGGAAUUAUUGGGCGUAAAGGGUCCGCAGGUGGUUUAGCAAGUCUGCUGUUAAAGAAUCAGGCUUAACCUGAUCAAAGCAGUGGAAACUGUGAAACUAGAGUUCGGUAGGGGUAGCGGGAAUUCCCAGUGUAGCGGUGAAAUGCGUAGAGAUUGGGAAGAACAUCGGUGGCGAAAGCGCGCUACUGGGCCGAAACUGACACUAAGGGACGAAAGCUAGGGUAGCGAAAGGGAUUAGAUACCC
rnacentral:rRNA from 1 species